rnacentral:rRNA from 1 species
GAUGAACGCUGGCGGCGUGCCUAAUACAUGCAAGUCGAGCGAACAGACGAGGAGCUUGCUCCUCUGACGUUAGCGGCGGACGGGUGAGUAACACGUGGAUAACCUACCUAUAAGACUGGGAUAACUUCGGGAAACCGGAGCUAAUACCGGAUAAUAUAUUGAACCGCAUGGUUCAAUAGUGAAAGACGGUUUUGCUGUCACUUAUAGAUGGAUCCGCGCCGCAUUAGCUAGUUGGUAAGGUAACGGCUUACAAAGGCAACGAUGCGUAGCCGACCUGAGAGGGUGAUCGGCCACACUGGAACUGAGACACGGUCCAGACUCCUACGGGGGGCAGCAGUAGGGAAUCUUCCGCAAUGGGCGAAAGCCUGACGGAGCAACGCCGCGUGAGUGAUGAAGGUCUUCGGAUCGUAAAACUCUGUUAUUAGGGAAGAACAAAUGUGUAAGUAACUAUGCACGUCUUGACGGUACCUAAUCAGAAAGCCACGGCUAACUACGUG